rnacentral:rRNA from 1 species
AAUGAACGCUGGCGGCGCGCCUAAUACAUGCAAGUCGAGCGAGAAGACGUAGCAAUACGUUUGUAAAGCGGCGAACGGGUGAGGAAUACAUGGGUAACCUACCCUCGAGUGGGGAAUAACUAGCCGAAAGGUUAGCUAAUACCGCGUACGCUCCUUGGACUUCGGUUCAGGGAGGAAAGCGAUACCGUGGGUAUCGCGCUCUUGGUUGGGCUCAUGUCCUAUCAGCUUGUUGGUGAGGAACGGCUCACCAAGGCUUCGACGGGUAGCUGGUCUGAGAGGACGAUCAGCCACACUGGCACUGCGACACGGGCCAGACUCCUACGGGAGGCAGCAGUAAGGAAUAUUGCGCAAUGGGCGAAAGCCUGACGCAGCGACGCCGCGUGGGGGAGUGAAGGUCUUCGG